rnacentral:misc_RNA from 1 species
GAUGAUUUGUUUGUGUGUUAAAUUUUAGCUUUGGUUGGGGAUACUCAGGCACUAAAAUGUGUUCUUUUUAUGUUUUUCUUUGACAAUCUUAUCUGGGUACCUUCUAAAAUAAAUGGAAAACGGCUUGAUUCUAGGAUACGGGAUUUUUAGUAGAUAUCAUCUGCUGAAGUUAAACGGGCACUUCGUAGUAUCUUUAGAGAACGUUUUGAUUAAGGUGAUCAAUGAUUGUCAAUGGAAUUGUACCUCAGCUUGUGGUGGAAUGGUAGCAAACCUAAAAAUAUUUCUUCUCAGGCUGGACUUAUUUUAGUAAUGGCUAAUCUAGAGGAACAUAAC